UACGUAGGGUGCAAGCGUUGUCCGGAAUUAUUGGGCGUAAAGAGCUCGUAGGCGGUUUGUCGCGUCUGCUGUGAAAACCCAGGGCUUAACCCUGAGCCUGCAGUGGGUACGGGCAAACUAGAGUGCGGUAGGGGAGAUCGAAUUCCUGGUGUAGCGGUGAAAUGCGCAGAUAUCAGGAGGAACACCGGUGGCGAAGGCGGAUCUCUGGGCCGUAACUGACGCUGAGGAGCGAAAGCAUGGGUAGCGAACAGG
rnacentral:rRNA from 1 species